rnacentral:tRNA from 4 species
CGGAGUAUAGCGCAGCCCGGUAGCGCACCUGCUUCGGGAGCAGGGGGUCGCAGGUUCAAAUCCUGCUACUCCGACCA